rnacentral:rRNA from 1 species
AUUGAACGCUGGCGGCAUGCCUUACACAUGCAAGUCGAACGGCAGCACGGGUGCUUGCACCUGGUGGCGAGUGGCGAACGGGUGAGUAAUACAUCGGAACGUACCUUAUCGUGGGGGAUAACGCAGCGAAAGCUGUGCUAAUACCGCAUACGCCCUGAGGGGGAAAGCGGGGGAUCGCAAGACCUCGCGCGAUCAGAGCGGCCGAUGCCUGAUUAGCUUGUUGGUGGGGUAAAAGCCCACCAAGGCGACGAUCAGUAGCUGGUCUGAGAGGACGAUCAGCCACACUGGGACUGAGACACGGCCCAGACUCCUACGGGAGGCAGCAGUGGGGAAUUUUGGACAAUGGGGGCAACCCUGAUCCAGCAAUGCCGCGUGAGCGAAGAAGGCCUUCGGGUUGUAAAGCUCUUUUGUCAGGGAAGAAACACCGGCUCUAACACAGUCCGGGAAUGACGGUACCUGAAGAAUAAGCACCGGCUAACUACGUGCCAGCCGCCGCUGUAA